rnacentral:rRNA from 2 species
GGUUAAGUGACUAAGCGUACACGGUGGAUGCCUUGGCAGUCAGAGGCGAUGAAAGGCGUAAUAACUUGCGAUAAGCCCAGAUUAGGUAGUAAUAACCUUUUGAGUCUGGG